rnacentral:rRNA from 1 species
AUUGAAUAAAUCUGGUGGGUUGUAGCUGGCUCUUCGGAGCAUGUGCACGCUCUCUCACUUUUAUCCAUCCACCUGUGCACCAUGUGUAGUCUUGAGGGAAAAGAUUUGUGGUCCGCUGUGGGCUAUAAAGACGUCCUCUCAAGUCUAUGUUUUUCAUAUACCACGUAGUAUGUUGUAGAAUGUAUAUCAUGGGCCUACGUGCCUAUAAAACACUAUACAACUUUCAGCAACGGAUCUCUUGGCUCUCGCAUCGAUGAAGAACGCAGCGAAAUGCGAUAAGUAAUGUGAAUUGCAGAAUUCAGUGAAUCAUCGAAUCUUUGAACGCACCUUGCGCUCCUUGGUAUUCCGAGGAGCAUGCCUGUUUGAGUGUCAUUAUAUUCUCAACCCUUCUCAGUUUUAAUGACUGAGUAAAGUGGAUUGGAUUGUGGGGGUCAUUGCUGGCCGUCUCUGGUCAGCUCCCCUGAAAUGUAUUAGCGGAACUGUUUGCGGUCCCGUCACUGGUGUGAUAAUUAUCUACGCCGAAGACAAAGGCUGCUCUCUAGAUGUUCAGCUUCUAAUCAGUCCGCUUUAGUGGACAAUUUCUGAACGUUUGACCUCAAAUCAGGUAGGACUACCCG